rnacentral:rRNA from 1 species
GACGAAGGGGGCUAGCGUUGUUCGGAAUUACUGGGCGUAAAGCGUGUGUAGGUGGUUGUCAUAGUCAGGUGUGAAAGCCUUGAGCUCAACUCAAGAAAUGCACUUGAUACUGGGCAACUAGAGGACCGGAGAGGAUAGUGGAAUUCCCAGUGUAGUGGUGAAAUACGUAGAGAUUGGGAAGAACACCAGUGGCGAAGGCGGCUAUCUGGACGGUUUCUGACACUAAGACACGAAAGCGUGGGGAGCAAACAGGG